rnacentral:lncRNA from 1 species
UGAUAAUAGUAGUAAGUGCAAGUAACAUUUAUUAAGCUCUUAGCUUAUAUAACUGAAUUCUGAUUUUGACAUCCCGUGGUAGGUACUACCAUGACCUCAAUUUCACAAAAAGAAAUAGAGGUUUACAUAGAUUAAGGCACUGCCCCAUUUUGACAGGUUGUCAAUUGACAGAGUGGGAGACUGUAAACAGGUCUAUUUAACCUGAGUCUUUCAUUAUCGUAACCACAACUCAUUGACAUCUAAUAUAGGCUUAUCCCAUUCUCCUACAUGCUCUUGCUUUUAGCUCUUAAAGCUUCAGCCCAGUUUGCAGUUCUGUGCCUUUGACUACUUCCUAUCUCCACUUGUUUAAGAUGGGCAUUCAAAAUAGUACUUUUCAAGCAAUUUGACAAUGAGACAAAGAAGGGAGUAUGGUGGUGGCUGGAGGAGGAAGUGGAGUUCAGAAUAAUUUUCUUUAAAUGGUGGAGAUUUGAAUAUGAUUCCAAGUUGCAAAAAAGAUGCCAGGAUUCAGCAAGAGAGAUUGAAGAUACAAGAAAAAUGCUCUUCUGACUUUGUUUUCCUGUUUAUGUUAACAGUCAAAAGUGAGAAAACAGAGGGAAAAUGAGGCAAUUAACAAAGAUACAAAUAAUUCCAGAAGAUUUCAGCAUAGCAGAUAAAAUACAGCAAAUCCUAACCAGCACAGGUUUUAGUGAUAAAUGGGCCCAUUCCAUAGACACAGAUGAUUUCAUCAGGUAAUUACAUUUUUGUGUUCGUAAGCGUUUACAUGUCUUUACUGUGACACCUUCAGAUUAGAGAUUUUAAAGGCUUUUAAGCGGUAUAAGGUGCUACCUGGGAUAGUUAUUGCAUAGCACUUUCAUGGCAUGGAAUAGUGUUUGGUGUAGAAGAUGAA